CCUACGGGAGGCAGCAGUGAAGAAUAUUGGACAAUGGGCGGGAGCCUGAUCCAGCCAUGCCGCGUGCAGGAAGACCGCCCUAUGGGUCGUAAACUGCUUUUGUACGGGAAGAACAAGGGGCACGCGUGCCCCCCUGACGGUACCGUAAGAAUAAGGAUCGGCUAACUCCGUGCCAGCAGCCGCGUUAAUACGGAGGAUCCGAGCGUUAUCCGGAAUUAUUGGGUUUAAAGGGUCCGUAGGCGGCCCGUUAGUCAGGGGUGAAAGUCUGCGGCUCAACCGUAGCACUGCCCUUGAUACUGCGGCCUUGAGUUAUGGUGAAGUGGCUAGAAUAUGUGGUGUAGCGGUGAAAUGCAUAGAUAUCACAUGGAAUACCGAUUGCGAAGGCAGGCCACUAACCAUAUACUGACGCUGAUGGACGAAAGCGUGGGGAGCGAACAGGAUUAGAUACCCUGGUAGUCCACGCCGUAAACGAUGGAUACUAGCUGUCCGGGCCCUUGAGGCCUGGGCGGCCCAGCGAAAGUGAUAAGUAUCCCACCUGGGGAGUACGUCCGCAAGGAUGAAACUCAAAGGAAUUGACGG
rnacentral:rRNA from 1 species